rfam:Gossypium arboreum cultivar AKA8401 contig_804_13, whole genome shotgun sequence.
AUCUUGUGGUGAGGGCAUCUACGAAGUAACUCCUUGAAUCUUUCCCAUGCCUUGUAUAAUGAUUCAUCAUCCAUUUGUUGAAAAGUGGUCAUCUUAUUCCUCAACUU